rnacentral:rRNA from 1 species
UACGUAGGGACCAAGCGUUGUUCGGAUUUACUGGGCGUAAAGGGAGCGUAGGCGGCAAUUCAAGUCAGUUGUGAAAUCUCCGAGCUUAACUCGGAACGGUCAACUGAUACUGCUUUGCUAGAGUACAGAAGGGGCAAUCGGAAUUCUUGGUGUAGCGGUGAAAUGCGUAGAUAUCAAGAGGAACACCUGAGGUGAAGACGGAUUGCUGGGCUGAUACUGACGCUGAGGCUCGAAAGCUAGGGGAGCAAACGGG